CCCACCUCUCCCGCCUCCACUCCCCAACUUUCACCCUCCAUGCUCCCGCACCGCUGUCAACAGUGCCAGCUCCGCCCUCUCCCUUGCCUCGGCGCCCCCACCACGGCGACGCAGCGGGCUUCUGGGCUCAGGUCCCCGCUCCCGGACUGCUGGGUGCCCCCUCUCCCACCCUGCCCCCCAAACUCGGGGCGCGCAGGGCGCGGUGGCGGCGACAGCGCUUUUCCAGUCUUUCCUCACACCAAGGACCAGGCGGACUCUGCAGCCGCGGAGAAGAGGGAACGAAAGUAAAACGAAAGCACUCCGAGCGCAUCAGCCACAGCCACUUCCCUCAGGGCGUCGGUGGUAGGCCAAAGUGUGGUGGCAAAGUUUGGCCGAGGCGAGUGUAAGCUGUUCCUAGAGGAAGCCCGGGAGUUGCCGGGGUCUGUCCUGGGCUGCCAGGCUUCCUCCACCUCCGGAAAAACCGACAUAGAUUCUAUAUCAACCUUGCAUGGAAAGUGUGGUUCUGGAUCUUGAAAUUGAAGACUGUUUGGGACCCUGCAGAAGUGAAGGAGUGUGGCACAGAGCGAGUUUGGCCUCCUGUGGCAGAUCCCUUAGCGGAGUCUUGGCUAGGAGUGGAGGAGCGCGGCAAGGUCGCGCAAAGGCCUCUUGGGACUCAAGGCCCACGGAAUUCUUGCUCCGCUGAAAUUGGAUAAGCACUCCGCCCACGCGCAAACAACCAACGUUCUAUACAAUUUAAAAGACUUAACGAAACUCUAGGGGCAUCCCUCUCCCCUCAAGGCAGUCACUGCAGCCACAAAGAUGGCCCCGGCAGGUUUGAAAGGGGCGGGUGGGCGGCCUUAUAGACUGCAGACUUUAGCAGUUAAGGGAAGACAUCUUCUCGAGGUGAAGGUAACCAAACACAACUGGGGCGCUCAGGAAUGGCAGCUGGUGUCAAUCUGGUCAGCUGAAAUGUGUCCUUGCUUCCCCUACUUCCCCCACAGAGAGCCGACACAGACAGAUUCCCCUUCAAGUAGCUCACAGUCUUCACUCGAGCCCCGCCUCCAUACUCACUUUUCUUAACACACACUUUAUUCUCUUCACUAACACCUUUAUUGUAAUACUAUCUGUGGGUCUGGGCAGGUGUUAGAAAGACCUGCAGAGGCCAAGUGAGUCGAAAGUGGAAACCGUUUUCUCGAGGGCUCGGUUUGCUCACCCACACCUGAUGAAGGACUUAGCAGACGGCC
rnacentral:lncRNA from 1 species